AGCGAACGCUGGCGGCGUGCCUAACACAUGCAAGUCGAGCGAAGGCAUGAGUGUAGCAAUACACUUAUGUACUUAGCGGCGGACGGGUGAGUAACACGUGGAUAAUCUGCCCUGAGGACCGGGACAACUCUGGGAAACCGGAGCUAAUACCGGAUGUGACCACGAUGUCUGAGGACGUUGAGGUAAAAGGGUGGCCUGCAAGGGCUAUUGCCUUGGGAUGAGUUCACGACCCAUCAGGUAGUUGGGGAGGG
rnacentral:rRNA from 1 species